GGCGCGUAGGCGGUUUUUUAAGUCAGAUGUGUAAUCCCCGAGCUUAACUUGGGAACUGCAUCUGAGACUGGAAGGCUAGAGUACUGGAGAGGGUGGUGGAAUUCCUCGUGUAGCGGUGAAAUGCGUAGAGAUGAGGAGGAACACCAGUGGCGAAGGCGGCCACCUGGACAGUAACUGACACUGAGGCGCGAAAGUGUGGGUAGCAAACAGGAUUAGAUACCCUGGUAGUCCACGCUGUAAACGAUGAACACUUGGUGUGGAGGGAGUUGACCCCUUCCGUGCCGGAGCUAACGCGUUAAGUGUUCCGCCUGGGGAGUACGGUCGCAAGGCUGAA
rnacentral:rRNA from 1 species